AUACAUGCAAGUCGAUCGCACAGCGAAAGGUGCUUGCACCUUUCAAGUGAGUGGCGAACGGGUGAGUAACACGUGGAUAACCUGCCUCAAGGCUGGGGAUAACAUUUGGAAACAGAUGCUAAUACCGAAUAAAACUUCAUCUUGCAUGAGAAGAAGUUAAAAGGCGCUACGGCGUCACCUAGAGAUGGAUCCGCGGUGCAUUAGUUAGUUGGUGGGGUAAAGGCUUACCAAGACGAUGAUGCAUAGCCGAGUUGAGAGACUGAUCGGCCACAUUGGGACUGAGACACGGCCCAAACUCCUACGGGAGGCUGCAGUAGGGAAUCUUCCACAAUGGGCGAAAGCCUGAUGGAGCAACGCCGCGUGUGUGAUGAAGGCUUUCGGGUCGUAAAGCACUGUUGUAUGGGAAGAACAGCUAGAAUAGGGAAUGAUUUUAGUUUGACGGUACCAUACCAGAAAGGGACGGCUAAAUACGUGCCAGCAGCCGCGGUAAUACGUAUGUCCCGAGCGUUAUCCGGAUUUAUUGGGCGUAAAGCGAGCGCAGACGGUUGAUUAAGUCUGAUGUGAAAGCCCGGAGCUCAACUCCGGAAAGGCAUGGAAACUGGUCAACUG
rnacentral:rRNA from 1 species